rnacentral:rRNA from 1 species
CUGAGUACGGCGGAACACGUGAAAUUCCGUCGGAAUCCGGGAGGACCAUCUCCCAAGGCUAAAUACUCCCUAGUGACCGAUAGUGAACCAGUACCGUGAGGGAAAGGUGAAAAGCACCCCGGAAGGGGAGUGAAACAGUUCCUGAAACCGUGUGCCUACAAGUAGUUAGAGCCCGUUAAUGGGUGAUAGCGUGCCUUUUGUAGAAUGAACCGGCGAGUUACGAUUUGUUGCAAGGUUAAGCGGAAAAAGCGGAGCCGUAGCGAAAGCGAGUCUGAAUAGGGCGCAUAAGUAACAGGUCGUAGACCCGAAACCAGGUGAUCUACCCAUGUCCAGGAUGAAGGUAAGGUAAUACUUACUGGAGGUCCGAACCCACGCACGUUGAAAAGUGCGGGGAUGAGGUGUGGGUAGCGGAGAAAUUCCAAUCGAACUUGGAGAUAGCUGGUUCUCUCCGAAAUAGCUUUAGGGCUAGCCUCGAGGUAAAGAGUCAUGGAGGUAGAGCACUGUUUGGACUAGGGGCCCUUCUCGGGUUACCGAAUUCAGAUAAACUCCGAAUGCCAUGUACUUAUACUCGGGAGUCAGACUGCGAGUGAUAAGAUCCGUAGUCGAAAGGGAAACAGCCCAGACCACCAGUUAAGGUCCCCAAAUAUAUGUUAAGUGGAAAAGGAUGUGGGGUUGCUUAGACAACCAGGAUGUUGGCUUAGAAGCAGCCACCAUUGAAAGAGUGCGUAAUAGCUCACUGGUCGAGUGACCCCGCGCCGAAAAUGUACCGGGGCUAAACAUAUUACCGAAACUGUGGAUGAACCUCUUUAGAGGUUCGUGGUAGGAGAGCGUUCUAAGGGCGGUGAAGUCAGACCGGAAGGACUGGUGGAGCGCUUAGAAGUGAGAAUGCCGGUAUGAGUAGCGAAAGAAGGGUGAGAAUCCCUUCCACCGAAUAUCUAAGGUUUCCUGAGGAAGGCUCGUCCGCUCAGGGUUAGUCGGGACCUAAGCCGAGGCCGAUAGGCGUAGGC